rnacentral:lncRNA from 1 species
GCAUACAUGCUUCUCAAUACAAGACAUCUUAUCCUCAAGUAAAUUGACAGGUUCCUUGGUUGAACUAGAAACAUGGUCCACUGAGUUAGUAAACAUAACUUCACUUUGCUCCAUGGAUGACACAGUUUCUUUGCAGGGGAUUUGCUCUUUAGAAACCACAUUAGAAUCAUUGACUAAUCGAUCUUCCUCCACUGCCUUUGGUCUCUCCACACAGGACAAAUCAUCCUCAUUGUUUCCAAUAGUAAACAUAACUUCACUUUGCUCCAUGGAUGACACAGUUUCUUCGCAGGGGAUUUGCUCUUUGGAAACCACAUUAGAAUCAUUGACUGAUCGAUCUUCCUCCACUGCCUUUGGUCUCUCC